ensembl:lncRNA
GCGGGCGGCCGGCUACAGCCGUAGCGUGGCCCAGUGCCGCUCCAAGUGGAAGGCACUUAAGCAAGCUUUCCACUCGGAGCGGGAGACGCGACGCAGAGCUGGACUCCACUCUCCCCGUCUGCCUCCGCACUACCGAGCCAUGAAGAGCAUCUGGAAGGCCGCCGGGCGACCGGUCUUCCGCGAGCGGCGUCUGCUGGACCUGGGGAAGCUGCCUCCCAGGAGGCGCAGAUCGGUCCCUGCCACCUGCUCUCCAUCCUCACCAGUACCACCAGAUUCCCAGGGCAUGCUGCUGUCUCCGCUGCUGUGGCAUGUGAAGGAUGAGCCAGAGAGCUCCUGCGGGGAGCAUAUCGCUGGAGCAGUGCCUGACCCCACAUCUGUCCCAAACACCACUCACUGCAUCCCUCUCCUUCCCAUCCUGGGCAGCCAGACUGUCCUGAAACAGGAAAGUGCUGAGCAAAAGGCAGGUUUCCCCAUUGAAACAUCCCUAGGGAUGGGAGGAGGAAACAUUGUGCUGCCAGUGCCCACUGCAGCCCCCAGCUCUCCCAGACCCUGUGAGCAGACAGCAGCCAGUGAGGAUGUGCCGGACACCAGCCUGCAAGGCUGUGGUGUGGCUGGCCUGCUGCAGAGUGUGCAGCAGCUGCUGGUGCAGAUUCUGCAGACGUCGCGACAGCAGCAGGCGCUGCUGGAGAGCCUCGCCAGCGACACCGUCUCCCACCUCCACCUCCUCUCACAUAGCCUGGUGCAGGUGGGCGAGACCUUGCACCAGCUGUUGCUCCGGCCACAAGCGCCCCCCAGCCACGGUGCUGCGCACAUUCCCCUUUUUGGGGGCAGCCCCCCAGUGCCACUGCUCUCUGGGCUGCCUUAUGCUUCCCCGGAUCCCAAAGAGGAGUGCCAGGCAUCUCUUGGCUCCGGCUGCACCCUGCCGUGAGCGUGCUUGUGGCACAAAUCUUUGUAACAGGAGCUCUGGGGAUUUUAGAUGUUUAUAGAAGACACAGAUUUUAGUAACAUUAAAAAUAGCUUUUGUAUCAGCAGUGCCAAUUGACCAAUUAUUUCCCUCCGUACUCAAGGUUUCGAGUUGAGCGGAAGGGGAACUGCACUAUUUAAAGCCUCCCAGAAACUCCCCUUGGCCGAUGCGCACCCAUGGGUGGAACAGGGAUGGUGCCACUGUCACCUCUCCAACACCUGGCUCCCAGCCCAGCGGGGGCGAGAUGUGCUGGGGAAGUCCAUCACCUC